UGAGUCCUUGACGCAAGGAAUUCAAGCUUCUGCAGUAGCUCUGGGCAAAUGCUUGAGUUGCCCAUGACCAUAGGAAAAGCAGUUUUUCUGCAAAGGGAUCCAAGGUGGGGUGUGUGUAGGGUUUGCAGUCAUACUUCUGGGAAAUGAAAGGUCCCUGUUCCUCUUAACCUAGAAAUAGGUUUGCUGCUUAAUGAGUGAGGAGUAAUUGUGUGGAAGUGGCCAAAUGCAUGCCCCUCAGGUGAGCCGGUGCACCCUUCACUUUAACAAUGUAACACCGGGUGGUGUGAAGAGGGGCAGGAUGUGGAUGCCAUUUUGAAAAUAGGCAAAUAUCUGAGGGUGACUACAACAAACAAUGUGUGCCGGGAAACUGCUUGGUUUUUGGCAAAUGGUUUUGUGAGCUUUCUGUGAUGUUUCUUUAGCAAUUUAUUAGAAAGCUGUAUGAGAUGAAGUGUGGAUUCACUGAAUUGCUCUUUCGCCAUCCCUGCGCAAUAUGAAUGUAUCAUUCUUAACCCCACCUCGUGUAAUGACACUUUGCUAUGCUUCAGCUGAUUGCCUCAGCAGUCCUCCCUCAUCCUUGCCAGAUAUGCCCACAUAUGUGAGUUGCGUCCAAAACCCCAUACUUACCCUUGUGAUGGGAGAAGAAACAUCUAGAGCUGGAUGAAGGUCCAAAUUUCAACCAAGCCCCCAAGCCCAAGGAAAUCCUAUUAAACUUCCCUAAGGAAGGCACAAACUAGCCUUCUUGGAAAGGAAGAAAGGAUUAAUCCACACAGUAUUAGUCGGUCUUUGAAACAGUACUGAUCUUCCAGGGGCUGGUGUCAAAAUUCAGUCCUCAGUGUGGGAGCCUGCAGGGUGUGGGACUCCAUAGUUCAUGUGAUGGCCUCAUACACUAUACUAUGCCAAAUGGUAUUAAACACUGGUGGGAAAUUACUGGGAAAAGGACUUGGGUCUAAAAGUUUAAAAACAAAAACAUAUCUGUAUUUAGAACUGUUUGGUUUGCCACAUUUAAAAUAAAGUCUUCAAUGCAGUGAAGCCCAAAGGUACACCCAAUUAUACACUUAUAAGGGCUGGAAGGAAGCUGCUAGGUUUUGUUUUGUUUUAGUUGCCUGCUCUGCCAUUUUUCUUGUGUCUCUAAUGUUUGGUUAGUGAUGACUUGAACAUCUUGGUAACUGACAAAGGUCUUCCUUAGGGGACUCCAGCAGUAUCUUGUUUAAACAGCUGAAAGGACUAUUAAAAGUUAUUAAAGUGUGUUAAUUGGGACUCAUUUGAGGGUGUGAGAUAGUCAUCCUCCUCUUACUCCACAAUCUGUUUUCCGAAUCAUAUGGAGAGGGUGGUCCUCAUCCCCCCCACCCCCACCCCUUCAGAGUUUAUUCCUAUUGUAAACUGUAAUUAUAGCAUAUAUCCAGUUUAACCUGGACUGGGACUGCAUUUUAGUGAGGAUCUGGUGUUUUUCCUUAUUGAAAGACAAAAUUGAUGCUUGAGCACUGUUGCAGAAGCCAAGAUGGUUCAAAUAGCUUUGAGUAACCAUCAGGUUCUGCUUCUGAUUCAGGUGCUGGGGCAUCACGUCCUCCCUAUUCUUCUUGGAAACUCAGCCUGCUCUUCCAGAUACCUACUACUUCUAUCACCCAUCUACUACUUUCAACACAAAUCUUGGACAUUGCCAAAGGAAGCCAUUCAGCAGCUGCUGUGGUUUUUUUUUUCCCC